UCAGGCAGCCAAACUAUUGGUAGUUGUGUUGAUUACUCUUGGAAACCUCCCAGAGAAUCUGCAUACUUCUUUAAAAGCUUGUUAGGAAUUCUUCUCUUUAGAUUUAAAAAACUCAAACACGACUAGGAUGCUGAAGAAGAAGCAAUGUUCAAGUAAAGCUCAGAAGAGCCAAGCCAGUACAGGUCCCAGUCCUACAAGACACAGCACUUGACCAAGGUCCCAGUGAUUUGAUUCCCUGGGCUCCAGGGGGAGCUUUCAUUUGUUUGUGAGCACAGCACUAAAUAUAUGUGGCAAAUUUCUAAGUACAAGGGAUCCAGGGACCCCCUGUGGGCAGGGGACUUGGGAGCCGACGGAGCGGAUCUGGGCACGGGAAGCCGCGGACACGGAUCGGUACUGGAUAGGCAACCUGAGCACGGUGAGACGCGGUGCAGUGAGACGUGGUAAAAGGAGUCAGGUCGCUGGGGGAGACCGAAGGCGGAGGAGUAAGUGAGGGGUCGUGACCCUCCCCCCGCCAUGUGCCACCAGCACGGAAGUUGAAUUUUCAGCGGCGAAAAAACUGCUUCUGAGUAUUCUCGUUAAAUGAGGCGAAGCAGCCAGGGAAAACGACCUGGAUAAGCUCAUUAUAUGGGCGAAAAAUCACGGGCAUUUUGCAGUGCCCCCACUGCUCUUUGCAGUUGAGGAAUGGAUGGAUAUAAGGGCUCUGAUCUGGGAAACAGCAAUCACGGAAAAGAGCAAGGACACUCUGUCUCUCGGUCGAACUCGUCAGAUUGUAAUUAGUACCUUAAAAAACAGAAAAGCGAGAUAUGCUGAGGCUGUGAGCCCUGUAAUUCUACCUGCAUCAGAGCAGCAGAUGCCUUUACCUCCCACUGCUGGGCAAGCUCUCCUAUCUAUGCUGCCCAUGGAAAGAGGGAGGGAGAGAAGAAAAUAAUGAGAAAGAAAUUCCACAGCAAACGCUGAAACAACAAACAGAAUCUAUUCAGCAAUGGCAGGAUGUGAUAUGUCCUGAACUAUUUGCUUCACUUUUGGAGUCACUUUUAACACCACAAUCUUUUUUAAGUUCCAACUUUACUACCCUGGAAGAAAAGAAGACAGAUAUGGAUUGGUUUUUACCCAAACCAGGGUGACAUGGGGGAGCACUGAGGUGUGUGCAGAGAACAAAGACACCCUCGGGGCAGAGGCAGUGCAGAAAAAGUUCCAAGGCCACUCUGAACAAUUACAGAAGCAGUUGAGCAGAAACAGGUGGCUCAGGCAGCUUCAAAGAGAGACAAAUUAGCCAAAAAAUCGCUAACUAUAUGGUAUCUAGUUCAAAAUUCAUCACUGUAAUUAAAAGUUGAUAAGCUGCAAUGGUCACCCUUGUUACCACCUGGUCAUGAGAGACUUUUCGUGUAACGUCGCCUGCUUUUGUAAAAUCGUUCCCUUUUUCUUCUAUCUGCAAACAACGAGAGAGAAAUUGAGAGAAAAAACUGUAUGUGUUAAAGUUAACUUUGUGAGGUUUUUUUCUUUCUCUCCGUUUUUCCUCUCUGUGAGGGUAUGUGGGGGAUGACAAAGAAAGAUAACAGCAGAGCUGCAGCAGCAGCAGCAGAGCGGGCAGUCCACCCCCCUGCUCCCUCUCUAAGAAAAAGCACCGGGACAGUAGCCAGUUUGUUAAAAAGUUAUGAUUCAUUGGUUUUUUAAAAUGUUUUUAUAUAUCCUUUUAGAGUUAAUUUUGUGUUUUAAGUAAUCAUGAGUUUAUGCAGUUGCAGUUUUUAGAGUUUUACUAGAGAAAUUAUUGUGAUUCUUUGAAAGUUUAAAAA